rnacentral:rRNA from 1 species
AGAGUUUGAUCAUGGCUCAGAAUGAACGUUGGCGGCAUGGAUUAGGCAUGCAAGUCGCGCGAUAUCGUAGCAAUACGUGAAAGCGGCGAAAGGGACAGUAAUGUGUGGGAACCUACCCUGAGGCCUGGGAUAGCGGCGGGAAACUGCCGGUAAUACCGGAUAAUAUCCUCGGAUCAAAGGUGUGAUUCCGCCCUGGGAUGGGCCCACAUGCUAUUAGCUAGUUGGCGAGGUAAUGGCUCACCAAGGCAAAGAUGGCUAGCGGGUGUGAGAGCACGACCCGCGUCACUGGGACUGAGACACUGCCCAGACACCUACGGGUGGCUGCAGUCGAGAAUCUUCGGCAAUGGGCGCAAGCCUGACCGAGCGAUGCCGCGUGCGGGAUGAAGGCCCUCGGGUUGUAAACCGCUGUCGAGGGGGAUGAAGUUACGGUGGGUACUCCCAUCGUAUUGACAGAUCCCUGGAGGAAGGGUGGGCUAAGUUCGUGCCAGCAGCCGCGGUAAGACGAACCACCCAAACGUUAUUCGGAAUUACUGGGCUUAAAGAGUGCGUAGGCGGCUCUGAAAGUAAGGUGUGAAAUCCCACAGCUCAACUGUGGAACUGCGCUUUAAACUACAGGGCUAGAGGGAUAUAGAGGUGAGCGGAACUGAUGGUGGAGCGGUGAAAUGCGUUGAUAUCAUCAGGAACACCGGAGGCGAAGGCGGCUCACUGGGUAUCUUCUGACGCUGAGGUACGAAAGCUA